UGCGUAGGCGGCUUGAUAAGUCAAAAGUGAAAUUUCGGGGCUCAACCCCGGAGCUGCUUUUGAAACUGUUGAGCUAGAGUGUGGGAGAGGAAAGUGGAACUUUGAGUGUAGCGGUGAAAUGCGUAGAGAUUCAAAGGAACACCAGUAGCGAAGGCGGCUUUCUGGACCAUUACUGACGCUGAGGCACGAAAGCGUGGGGAGCAAACA
rnacentral:rRNA from 1 species